UACGAAGGGUGCAAGCGUUACUCGGAAUUACUGGGCGUAAAGCGUGCGUAGGUGGUUUCUUAAGUCCGUUGUGAAAGCCCCGGGCUCAACCUGGGAAUGGCAGUGGAUACUGAGAGGCUAGAGUGUGUCAGAGGAUGGUGGAAUUCCCGGUGUAGCGGUGAAAUGCGUAGAGAUCGGGAGGAACAUCAGUGGCGAAGGCGGCCAUCUGGGACAACACUGACGCUGAGGCACGAAAGCGUGGGGAGCAAACAGG
rnacentral:rRNA from 1 species